CCUCUCUCCACCACCUAAAUGA
rnacentral:miRNA from 1 species